rnacentral:rRNA from 1 species
CCUACGGGAGGCAGCAGUGGGGAAUAUUGGACAAUGGGCGAAAGCCUGAUCCAGCCAUGCCGCGUGUGUGAAGAAGGUCUUCGGAUUGUAAAGCACUUUAAGUUGGGAGGAAGGGCAGUAAAUUAAUACUUUGCUGUUUUGACGUUACCGACAGAAUAAGCACCGGCUAACUCUGUGCCAGCAGCCGCGGUAAUACAGAGGGUGCAAGCGUUAAUCGGAAUUACUGGGCGUAAAGCGCGCGUAGGUGGUUUGUUAAGUUGGAUGUGAAAUCCCCGGGCUCAACCUGGGAACUGCAUUCAAAAACUGACAAGCUAGAGUAUGGUAGAGGGUGGUGGAAUUUCCUGUGUAGCGGUGAAAUGCGUAGAUAUAGGAAGGAACACCAGUGGCGAAGGCGACCACCUGGACUGAUACUGACACUGAGGUGCGAAAAGCGUGGGGAGCAAAACAGGAUUAGAUACCCUGGUAGUCCACGCCGUAAACGAUGUCAACUAGCCGUUGGGAGCCUUGAGCUCUUAGUGGCGCAGCUAACGCAUUAAGUUGACCGCCUGGGGAGUACGGCCGCAAAGGUUAAAAACUCAAAAUGAAGUUAGUACGGCGUGAGACGAGCCGAACGGACGACGACGAGGGAGGAGGAG